rnacentral:tRNA from 1 species
GGCCUCGCAGCUCAGCUGGUAGAGCAUACGCGGACAAAGCGUAGGCGGCGUCCAUGCGUGGGUUCGAAUCCCACCGAGGCUA